rnacentral:tRNA from 1 species
AUUUAUAUAGUUUAAAAAAAACAUUUCAUUUUCAAUGAAAAGAUAAAAACUUUUUUAUAAAUU